rnacentral:misc_RNA from 1 species
GAUGAAGAACGCAGCGAAAUGCGAUAAGUAAUGUGAAUUGCAGAAUUCAGUGAAUCAUCGAAUCUUUGAACGCACAUUGCGCCCGCCAGUAUUCUGGCGGGCAUGCCUGUUCGAGCGUCAUUUCAACCAUCAAGCCCCAGGCUUGUGUUGGGGACCUGCGGCUGCCGCAGGCCCUGAAAACCAGUGGCGGGCUCGCUGUCACACCGGGCGUAGUAGAUUUUAUCUCGCUCAGGGCGUGCUGCGGGUUCCGGCCGUUAAAAAGCCUUUUUUACCCAAGGUUGACCUCGGAUCAGGUAGGAAGACCCGCUGAACUUAAGCAUAUCAAUAAGCGGAGGA